GAUGAACGCUAGCGGCAGGCCUAAUACAUGCAAGUCGAACGAUACUUUCCAGCUUGCUGGAGAGGAAAGAGGCGCACGGGUGCGUAACGCGUAUGCAACCUACCUUCAUCAGGGGGAUAGCCCGGAGAAAUCCGGAUUAAUACCGCAUAAAAUCACAGGAUGGCAUUAUCCAAUGAUCAAACAUUUAUGGGAUGGAGAUGGGCAUGCGUGUCAUUAGCUAGUUGGCGGGGUAACGGCCCACCAAGGCGACGAUGACUAGGGGAUCUGAGAGGAUGGCCCCCCACACUGGUACUGAGACACGGACCAGACUCCUACGGGAGGCAGCAGUAAGGAAUUUUGGACAAUGGGGGCAACCCUGAUCCAGCCAUGCCGCGUGCGGGAAGAAGGCCUUCGGGUUGUAAAUCGCUUUUGUCAGGGAAGAAACGCUCUGAGUUAAUACCUCGGGGUAAUGACGGUACCUGAAGAAUAAGCACCGGCUAACUACGUGCCAGCAGCCGCGGUAAGAC
rnacentral:rRNA from 1 species